UAAGGAAUAUUGGUCAAUGGACGCAAGUCUGAACCAGCCAUGCCGCGUGGAGGAUUAAGGCCCUCUGGGUUGUAAACUCCUUUUAUCUGGGAAGAAAUGUACUUUUUCUUGAGUACUUGACGGUACCAGAGGAAUAAGCACCGGCUAACUCCGUGCCAGCAGCCGCGGUAAUACGGAGGGUGCAAGCGUUAUCCGGAUUCACUGGGUUUAAAGGGUGCGUAGGUGGGCAGGUAAGUCAGUGGUGAAAUCUCCGGGCUUAACCCGGAAACUGCCGUUGAUACUACUUGUCUUGAAUAUUGUGGAGGUAAGCGGAAUAUGUCAUGUAGCGGUGAAAUGCUUAGAUAUGACAUAGAACACCAAUUGCGAAGGCAGCUUACUACACAAUCAUUGACGCUGAGGCACGAAAGCGUGGGGAUCAAACA
rnacentral:rRNA from 1 species